GACGAACGCUGGCGGCGUGCCUAAUACAUGCAAGUUGAGCGCUGAAGGUUGGUACUUGUACCAACUGGAUGAGCAGCGAACGGGUGAGUAACGCGUGGGGAAUCUGCCUUUGAGCGGGGGACAACAUUUGGAAACGAAUGCUAAUACCGCAUAAAAACUUUAAACACAAGUUUUAAGUUUGAAAGAUGCAAUUGCAUCACUCAAAGAUGAUCCCGCGUUGUAUUAGCUAGUUGGUGAGGUAAAGGCUCACCAAGGCGAUGAUACAUAGCCGACCUGAGAGGGUGAUCGGCCACCUGGGACUGGGACACGGCCCAAACUCCUACGGGAGGCAGCAGUAGGGAAUCUUCGGCAAUGGACGAAAGUCUGACCGAGCAACGCCGCGUGAGUGAAGAAGAGUUUCGGAUCGUAAAACUCUGUUGGUAGAGAAGAACGUUGGUGAGAGUGGAAAGCUCAUCAAGUGACGGUAACUACACAGAAAGGGACGGCUAACUACGUG
rnacentral:rRNA from 1 species